UAAACGUAAAUACACGAAAUCAACAAACAAAAAAACCCACAAGACGACGACGAGGCUUCUAAUUACGGACGUUUCCCCGACUCGUUCGAAACAAGAAACCAUUCGCGGCGACGCGAGGAGCAGCUGGAAGAAACACGGCGAAGGAUGACGACGACGACGACGAAAAAUUGAAGCACAUUCCCGAGAAAUGAGCUUGUCGGAUGGCCGCGGGGGCCCCCGCUCGGUUGCAAUCGGGGAUGGGUGCGAUGGUCACGCACGGGAAGGGCGGAUAGAGGGAGGUGAAUAAUGAAAACAUAAAUUUUUGCAAGCAUAAUUUGCGCGACAGGUCCCUAAUGCGCAGGCAGAACCGAACAAGGCAGCAACAGCAGCACGUUCCGUGGAGCAACAGGAAGGAAGCGGGGAAAGUGAAGGUGACGUGUAACAAAUGUUUUGUAAUUUGAAGCGUAAUUGUUUUGAUUUGUUUGAGCUGGCUGUUGGAAGUGGCAUUCGCAAAAAGGGAAAUGGAAAUGAGACCGAACGUGAGCGGUUCUCCGAUUGCAGCCCGAUUUCGGGCAGAGCAAACGAAUAAAAUCGGCGACGGAUAUUUGACACUUGGCUUCCGUCCGGUUCGGUGGCCGAAACAGCGCCGCGUCAGUUAAUCGAAUAAACAUCGCUGCGUGAAGCCGAGAGUGACAGAUUUGACACCAGGCAAUCGGAUUUCGGUGUUUUGUUUUCAAAUUGCAACUGUGUUCGAGCCAAUCAUCGAAGCUUUCGCCGUAAUUAGGACGAAACAGUGGCGGCUCAUGGGCGAUAACAUAUGAACGCGAAAGGUUAUCGCUGGCGAUGAGCGCAUCGUGCUCUUGGAAAGCAUUUGACAUCGUGUUGAAAACAAUUACCCGAGAUUUUUUCCGCAUCUAUGCGCUCCGGUGAUCAUUCAAUCAGUCUGUUAGCUUCCGCAGAUAAGCAGAGCAGAUAGAGAGCUGGAGUUAAUCCACCCAGUUUCGCAGAUGAAAAUACUCGACAGGAAUGGAUUCGAUUCUGUGUAAGCAGUGAGAUAGAGGUGCAACAUUUCAUCAUCAAACCAAGCUCGAGAAUAUGUUCCGUCCCCUUUGCUGGCUGAAAAUACAACGCAGAUGGAACUACCAGCUACCACUGGAAACAGUAUCGCGAAUGAGUGUUUGAAGAAUGCGGUAUUGACAAUCAUUUUGGAGACAGAAGGAAUCAAAUUACGUUUACAUUUCACAACCACUAUGAAGAAUGUCAACAGCUGUUCAACGAGAGUGCUGCAGCACCGUAAAGUCUGUUCCAGUUAGUAUUUGGUCGCUUUUUUCUAGAUCCUACAGCGUCUCUAGAUGUCGUGCCAAGAAACUAAUGGCGGCGUAUUGAUCAGGAAGAAUUGUUUCCUUAGUGGUAGAAAUUUCUUCAGGAUUGAUAUAUGCGUUGAAAAAUUAUCAAAGAUGGCACGCGUGAGACGGGAUCUGUAUGCAAGAAGGAUUUUGGUUGUACCAUGCCAGGAGAUUGAUCGAGGAUAAUGGAAGCGACUACUGGAUACAUCACGAGCUACUAGAGCUAGAGCCCUAGAUCCUGUUGAAAGUGAAGGAGUGUAUUUACCAGGAUUUAUGACUACAUAAACAUCAAGAUACUUGAACAAUAUAUUCUGGUAAACAAUAUCAGGGUGUCUGUCGAGAAAUCGAUUAGCAGCGGCAAAAGUGGAAUCGGGGAAACAGUUGAUCAGGUGACCGAUUCUCAGCAACCGAAAAGUAGCGAUAGCGGCAAAAAGAAGAAGAACCUAUUCAACCAAAAAGAAAUGGAUGUAGUGUUUGAGGAUGUGCUGGAGGAAAUGGGAAAAGUUUUGCAUUCCAAAUCCUAAUCAUCAAAUGUAACGGAAAAAGGCAGCGUUGGUGGCGAUGCAACAGCUCAACAAUUACUCAUUCGAUAUGGACUGGAAUUCUCUGGCGAACAAAUCCUGAACAAAAUAAAUCACAUGGAAACCUUCUUGUUUUUGUUAAAGAAAAUACAUUUUCGCGAAUAAA